rnacentral:tRNA from 1 species
UGUAGUGUGGCUGAGCGGUUAUAGCGGUAGACUGUAAAUCUAUUGUAUUUUUACAUCGUUGGUUCGAAUCCAACCACUUCCA